UACGUAGGGGGCAAGCGUUGUCCGGAAUCAUUGGGCGUAAAGAGCGUGUAGGCGGCCCGGUAAGUCCGCUGUGAAAGUCGGGGGCUCAACCCUCGAAUGCCGGUGGAUACUGUCGGGCUAGAGUGCGGAAGAGGCGAGUGGAAUUCCUGGUGUAGCGGUGAAAUGCGCAGAUAUCGGGAGGAACACCAGUGGCGAAGGCGACUACCUGGCCUGUUCUUGACGCUGAGGCGCGAAAGCUAGGGGAGCAAACGGG
rnacentral:rRNA from 1 species